GGACCCGACUGCUAUCGGAUUGGGAUUUAGCCAUGUUAGUUGUGCGUUCCUUGGCUACAGGGGACGCAGCAUACGGCUCAGUAACACGUAGUCAACCUGCCCUGGAGACGCGGACAAACCCGGGAAACUGGGGCCUAUCCGCGAUAGAUGACCUCAUCUGGAAGGAGAGGUCGUCCAAAAGGGUGCACGGGUAUGCUCUGUGCAAACCGCUCCAGGAUGGGACUGCGGCCGAUCAGGCUGUUGGCGGGGUAAUGGCCCACCAAACCUGUAACCGGUACGGGCUUUGAGAGAAGGAGCCCGGAGAUGGACACUGAGACAAGGGUCCAGGCCCUACGGGGCGCAUCAGGCGCGAAAACUUCGCAAUGCGCGAAAGCGUGACGAGGCUAGUCCGAGUGCUUCCUGCUAAAGGGAGCUUUUCUCGGCUGUAAAUAGGCCGGGGAAUAAGGGGAGGGCAAGUCUGGUGU
rnacentral:rRNA from 1 species